AGGAACUCUAUUUAUAAUCUUCAAAAACUGGAAACAACAUAAAUAAAUGGAUGAAAAACUAUGGUACAUUCCAACAGUGGAUAUAACAGGGGCCAGGGACAGGGGAAUGAAUGAGCUACUGUUACAUACAGGAAAGGCAUUUAUGUAAAUUGGUGAGGCCACUAUGGAAAAUAGUAUGGUAAUUUCAUACAAUGCUGAAAA